CACGGGGAGGUAGUGACGAAAAAUAACGAUACGGGACUCAUCCGAGGCCCCGUAAUCGGAAUGAGUACACUCUAAAUCCUUUUGCAAGGACCCAUUGGAGGGCAAGUCUGGUGCCAGCAGCCGCGGUAAUUCCAGCUCCAAUAGCGUAUAUUAAAGUUGUUGCGGUUAAAAAGCUCGUAGUCGAAUCUGUGUCCCGCGCCGCUGGUUCAUCGCUCGCGGUGUUCAACUGGCGUGUCUCGCGGGACGUCCUGCCGGUGGGCUUUCGAAUUGACUUCUUCGGUGGUCGUUCGUGGCCCAACUCGUAUCCGCUUUGCGCGGGUGCGAAUCCCAUCGCGGUGCUCUUUAUUGAGUGUCGAGGUGGGCCGGCACGUUUACUUUGAACAAAUUAGAGUGCUUAAAGCAGGCCAAUUUUGCCUGAAUAUUCUGUGCAUGGAAUAAUGGAAUAGGACCUCGGUUCUAUUUUGUUGGUUUUCGGAACCCCGAGGUAAUGAUUAAUAGGAACGGAUGGGGGCAUUCGUAUUGCGACGUUAGAGGUGAAAUUCUUGGAUCGUCGCAAGACGGACAGAAGCGAAAGCAUUUGCCAAAAACGCUUUCAUUGAUCAAGAACGAAAGUUAGAGGUUCGAAGGCGAUCAGAUACCGCCCUAGUUCUAACCAUAAACGAUGCCAGCUAGCGAUCCGCCGACGUUCCUCCGAUGACUCGGCGGGCAGCUUCCGGGAAACCAAAGCUUUUGGGUUCCGGGGGAAGUAUGGUUGCAAAGCUGAAACUUAAAGGAAUUGACGGAAGGGCACCACCAGGAGUGGAGCCUGCGGCUUAAUUUGACUCAACACGGGUAACCUUACCAGGCCC
rnacentral:rRNA from 1 species